UUUUCCCUUCUAACCACCCGCGCUCUCACACUUUGCCUCCGCUCCGCCGUUUCCAUGGCUCCGGUUUCCUACUUUCCUCUUGUCUCCUCCGUCCUCAGCCUGUUCUGUAAUGUGGGAUUUACUAGAAGAGCAGGGCUGGUGUUCGAGGAGGAGAAGUUGAAAUCCUAGAGGGAGGAAGGCGGGGAAGCCAAUACUACUUGCUAUUUCCACUGCAAUGAACGUCUCUGUGUCAUCAAAAUAAGAACUUCAACCCCAAGGUUGAAACAGCCAAGCAGAAUUUGAUGGAAAUAUAUUUAGGAACAGCUAAAUUAGCAGUGCGACGCGUGUUUUCUUUUCAUUGAAGAAUUCAGCCAGUUAAAACGAGUCUAAAUGGAAGUCUGAAAGCUUUUUCUUCAUUGUUGAGGAAUAAAAUAUUUCGUGUAUUUUUCGUUUUCCAGAUUCAUUCAUUUAACAAAUAUCAGUUGAGCACUUUCCAUGCCGUAGGGCCUGUACAAGGCACAUAGCAUUCUAGACAUCUGAAGCAUCAAAACUAAUCAUUUUUAUUUUGAAGAAAAUCACUCAAAAUAUUUUAUGUACUUUGUGCCUUUCAUGAACAGAAUAUUCCAAGCAUUCUCUGCAAAAUACGCAUGAAAACAAUUGGGAGAGAAGAGGUCAAUUAUCUUUGAGAAGCCCAAUUACAGAAUGAAAUUCAAUUCAUUAUUAAAAAUACAUGGAUCUAAUAAAGAAUAAAUAAUUGGAAAAGAAAAGUUUAAGGAAGAGAGAAACGGGAAUGAGAAACAAUUACUGUGGGCUCCCAAUGGCCUGGAGUGAAUCACCAAAGUAACCUAAACAUGAAGUCAUGAAAAACUAAGUGGAUUCUGCCUUUUAGUACUUCCCAUCAUGGGGGAAGUCACCAGCGACCUCCUUACUGUAUUUUGGAUGAUUCAAGAAAUAGAAAGGUGUCCUACUGACUUCUGAAACAGGGUGUCUUCAUAUUGAUUAGGGUCACCGUAAGCCUGGGAGCUGAUGCUUACUCUCAGGUAAAGGAUGCUGUGUGAGGCUGCUUGAUGAAUGAGAAUACUAACAUUCUUCUGCAUUGAAAAAAUAUAACCUAUAAGAUGAACAUUGUAGGCCGGGCGCAGUGGCUCACGCCUGUAAUCCCAACACUUUGGGAGUCUGAGGCGGAUGGAUCACCUGAGGCCAGGAGUUUGAGACCAGCCUGGCCAACGUAGUGAAACCUCAUCUCUAUUAAAAGUACAAAAAAUUAGCCUGGUGUGGUGGUGCACACUUGUAAUCCCAGCUACUCAGGAGCCUGAGGCAGGAGAAUCAUUUGAACCUGGGAGGCAGAGGUUGCAGUGAGCCGAGAUUGCACCACUGAACUCCAGCCUGGGCAACAGAGCCAGACUCUGUCUCCAAAAAAAAAAAAACAUGAACAUGGCCAUUCUAAAGUCCUACAGUAUCCAGAUGAGAAACGAGAGAAAGCAUAAGCUUUGGAGUCCAAAGAUCAGGAUUUUAGCGUCAGCACUCCACACCUUAGCUAUACAAUCUCAAAGCAGCCUGCACCUGUGGCCUCAUGGCGCAUUCUCUACAAUCAGUUGACAGAGGAAGAGAAGACUCAGGCCUGGUUUACAGAUGAUUUUGCAUUCUACGCAGAUCUUAUCACAAUGAAUAAUUUGGUCUUGCUCGAUCACCCAGGCUGGAGUGCAGCCUCGACCUCCCAGGCUCAAGUGAUCUCCCACCUCAGCCUCUUGAAUAGCUGAAAUCACAGUUCCACAGGUUGAGAUAUGUUACUUAAGAUCUCAAUACCCUUUUCCAAAGACUUCUGGGAUGACUUGGAAGUGAUGGUUGGAUGAAUCCCUUUCUGAAGAAGCUUGGCCCAGGAACCUAUGAGAGAGCCAGCAAUAGUGCCAACUGAUGCAGUGCUAUCUCCUGCUUCUAUAUCUUAGCCCCCCCAGCAUUCUGCUGCUGGAUGUGACACUUGCAUUUGUUUCAGAAUGGUGGCACCAUCAUUUGUAGUGAUCACAUUGCCUUUUCCACCUUAAAUCUUUUUUCCCAUUCCUUUUGGUCCAAGGCUUGUUUUAAUAGCAUCAGCAACAGCUUUGGCUGUGAUGUUGCUGAACCAGAUCUCAGCCUGCUUGUCAUAUCCCUGACAGGCACCUUUCACACAGCAGCUGGCAGCCCUGGUGGGUGCCCUGCUCCAUGGUCCAAACAACAUCUUUACUUGGGCAUGUUAACUAAAACUUUCUCCUUAUGUGUUACAUCUUGUUUUGUUUUUUGUUUGUUUUGCUGUCAGGUUCUAAAGAUGUGCUCCUUUAGGGUUAGGGAAAGGCUCCAGGAUGGCUAUGGAAUUCCACUAGGGAGCUAGAGGGCCACAGGAAUCUACCAGCUGGGGGACUUUGGCCAAGUUACUUUAAACCAUAGUUCUCAAAGUGUGAUCUCCAGACCAGCAUCAUCAGCCACACCUGGGAACCUAUUACAAAUACAAAUUCUUGGGCCUUGUUGGAGAUCUAUUGAACAAGAAACUGGGAGUGGGGCUUAGCCAUUUAUGUUGAACAAACCCUCAAGAUGCUGCUGAUGAAUACUUAAGUUUGAGAAAUACUGUGUUAAA
rnacentral:lncRNA from 1 species